GAUGAAGAACGCAGCGAAAUGCGAUAAGUAGUGUGAAUUGCAGAAUUCAGUGAAUCAUCGAAUCUUUGAACGCACAUUGCGCCCUUUGGUAUUCCUUAGGGCAUGCCUGUUCGAGCGUCAUUUAAACCCUUCAAGCUCAGCUUGGUGUUGGGUGACUGUCCGCCGCCCCCGGGCGCGGACUCGCCCCAAAUUCAUUGGCGGCCGGUACGUAGGCUUCGAGCGCAGCAGAAACGCGAACUCGGGCCCGCGGUGUCGGCUCCCAGAAGCCAUCUCUUUUAUUUUGAUCUCGGAUCAGGUAGGGAUACCCGCUGAACUUAAGCAUAUCAAUAAGCGGAGGA
rnacentral:misc_RNA from 1 species